GCAGCCUCUGCCGGGGGAAAGGACCGCAGCUCUUUGCUCAGCUACCACUGGGCACAGGGCUGGCUGCUCCCCGGGUGGCACUCCUACCUCGGCGGCAUACUGCACCCCGUCCACGGUGUGCUCAGAGCCGUGGUCGUCGGCGGAGCCCCAGUGCAG